AUAUAAUUUAACGGCCGCGGUAUACUGACCGUGCGAAGGUAGCAUAAUCACUUGUUCUUUAAAUGGGGACUAGUAUGAAUGGCACCACGAGGGCUUUACUGUCUCCUUUCUUCAAUCAGUGAAACUGACCUCCCUGUGAAGAGGCAGGGAUACUACUAUAAGACGAGAAGACCCCAUGGAGCUUUAAACCCAACAACAGCCCAAACACCUACCCCCUCAAAGUUUUUAAAGUUUUGUUAGUUGGUUUUAGGUUGGGGUGACCGCGGAGUACAAACCACCCUCCACGACGAAUGGGCCUACCCCCUUACCCAAGAAUUACACCUCUAAGGAUUAACACAUUAACGUAAAAUGAUCCAAAUAUUUGAUCAACGAACCAAGUUACCCUGGGGAUAACAGCGCAAUCCAUUUUUAGAGCCCCUAUCGACAAAUGGGUUUACGACCUCGAUGUUGGAUCAGGGUAUCCCGGAGGUGCAGCCGCUUCCAAUGGUUUGUUUGUUCAACAAUUAAAACCCUACGUGAUCUGAGUUCAGACAGGAUCGUCGUCUGUUUUUAAAAA
rnacentral:rRNA from 1 species